AUUGAACGCUGGCGGCAGGCUUAACACAUGCAAGUCGAGCGGAGAUGAGGUGCUUGCACCUUAUCUUAGCGGCGGACGGGUGAGUAAUGCUUAGGAAUCUGCCUAUUAGUGGGGGACAACAUUCCGAAAGGAAUGCUAAUACCGCAUACGCCCUACGGGGGAAAGCAGGGGAUCUUCGGACCUUGCGCUAAUAGAUGAGCCUAAGUCGGAUUAGCUAGGUGGUGGGGUAAAGGCCUACCAAGGCGACGAUCUGUAGCGGGUCUGAGAGGAUGAUCGGCCACACUUGGACUGAGACACGGCCCAGACUCCUACGGGAGGCAGCAGUGGGGAAUAUUGGACAAUGGGCGGAAGCCUGAUCCAGCCAUGCCGCGUGUGUGAAGAAGGCCUUUUGGUUGUAAAGCACUUUAAGCGAGGAGGAGGCUACCUGGAUUAAUACUCUAGGAUAGUGGACGUUACUCGCAGAAUAAGCACCGGCUAACUCUGUGCCAGCCGCCGCAGUAACAC
rnacentral:rRNA from 1 species